rnacentral:rRNA from 1 species
UCCUUAGAUGUUCUGGGCCGCACGCGCGCUACACUGAUGCGUUCAACAAGUUUCCUUGGCCGAGAGGCCUGGGCAAUCUUCUUAAUAUGUAUCGUGAUAGGGAUAGAUUAUUGCAAUUAUUAAUCUUGAACGAGGAAUUCCUAGUAAACGCAGAUCAUCAAUCUGCAUUGAUUACGUCCCUGCCCUUUGUACACACCGCCCGUCGCACCUACCGAUUGGAUGUUCCGGUGAAGCCUCGGGAUGAGGACUGGUGCCUUUAUUGGCAUGAGUUGUUCAGAACUUGUCUAAACCUUAUCAUCUAGAGGAAGGUGAAGUCGUAACA